AUGACCUCCCUCAGUCCCCAGCUGAUACUCACCACACCUUGUCCUAUGACUGGAGACUGCGUGAGGGGCAGCAGGAGGGAGCACACACGAAAGCUGGCCCCAGGGAGGGUCCCCACCGCUUCUGAAAUUCAGGGGGCCCCAGGGGCGUCAGGACCAGGGCAGAUGGGCUGGAGUGGCCAGAAGUGGAGUGAGCUCAAGUCCAAAGCUGGAACCCCCAGGGAGAGGCUGUCUGUCACCACUACCUCCAGUCACCUAGGGACGGCUUCUGGGUCCUGGGUGUGGGUUCCCAGAGGCCCGCUGGGGGUGGGUGAGGGAAAGGAAGGCAGCUGGGGUCCAAGGAUGGGUUGUAAGGGGACUCCUGGCAGGCGCCCCCUUUCCCUAGGAGGUUGGGGUGUGAGGCUCCAGGGAAGGGGUCAAGGCCCAGCAGCCUCCACCCCCCGGAAAGGGCAAGGGUGUGGCCAGCCUAUUCCCAGUCCCAGAGUUGGGGUGCCGGUGCCCAACCUGCCUCAGAAUCAGCCACGAGGGCGGGGUGCCCUCCCCAUGUGCCGAGUGGAGAGCCCAGGCCUGGGCCUCCCUGUGGCCCGGGGCGCUCCAAGGGUGGUGCCCAGGCCGAGGGGCGCUCGCUGCCUGGGUAAACCUGGGCCGAAACCGGGCCGAACCUCCCCAGCGAGGCGGUGGACCCACUGUGGCCGUGGGGGGCGCGGGGGCGUGGAGCGCCGGCCCGCCACCCCUCCUCUCCACCUCCUCUCUUCUCCACCUCCCCUCCCCCUCUUCGUCCCCGCCCCCCAUCCCCGUCGGGGGCGGGGCCGCUGCUCCCGCGCUCCGGCCCCUCCUCGGCCACACAAAGGCCCGUCUCCAUGGCAGCCGCGCGGGCCGGAGCGCAGCGCCGAUCGCGGCCUGGGCGCCAUCGAGCCUCGGCUUCGGACGUGCAGGUACGGAGGCGGGUUUCGGGGCCCGCGGAGCGGCAGCGCUGGUCGGGAGGCUUCGCCGUCAGCGCCGCUGCGCCCGCCUGGUCCUCUCGGGGCGCGGGGACCUGGGCGGGUGCCGGCCCGCUGA
rnacentral:lncRNA from 1 species